GGAAUCUGGGAGGACCAUCUCCUAAGGCUAAAUACUCUCUAGUGACCGAUAGUGAACCAGUACCGUGAGGGAAAGGUGAAAAGCACCCCGGAAGGGGAGUGAAAUAGAACCUGAAACCGUGUGCUUACAAGUAGUCAGAGCCCGUUAAUGGGUGAUGGCGUGCCUUUUGUAGAAUGAACCGGCGAGUUACGAUUUGAUGCAAGGUUAAGCAGUAAAUGUGGAGCCGUAGCGAAAGCGAGUCUGAAUAGGGCGUUUAGUAUUUGGUCGUAGACCCGAAACCAGGUGAUCUACCCUUGGUCAGGUUGAAGUUCAGGUAACACUGAAUGGAGGACCGAACCGACUUACGUUGAAAAGUGAGCGGAUGAACUGAGGGUAGCGGAGAAAUUCCAAUCGAACCUGGAGAUAGCUGGUUCUCUCCGAAAUAGCUUUAGGGCUAGCCUCAAGUGAUGAUUAUUGGAGGUAGAGCACUGUUUGGACGAGGGGCCCCUCUCGGGUUACCGAAUUCAGACAAACUCCGAAUGCCAAUUAAUUUAACUUGGGAGUCAGAACAUGGGUGAUAAGGUCCGUGUUCGAAAGGGAAACAGCCCAGACCACCAGCUAAGGUCCCAAAAUAUAUGUUAAGUGGAAAAGGAUGUGGCGUUGCCCAGACAACUAGGAUGUUGGCUUAGAAGCAGCCAUCAUUUAAAGAGUGCGUAAUAGCUCACUAGUCGAGUGACACUGCGCCGAAAAUGUACCGGGGCUAAACAUAUUACCGAAGCUGUGGAUUGUCCUUUGGACAAUGGUAGGAGAGCGUUCUAAGGGCGUUGAAGCAUGAUCGUAAGGACAUGUGGAGCGCUUAGAAGUGAGAAUGCCGGUGUGAGUAGCGAAAGACGGGUGAGAAUCCCGUCCACCGAUUGACUAAGGUUUCCAGAGGAAGGCUCGUCCGCUCUGGGUUAGUCGGGUCCUAAGCUGAGGCCGACAGGCGUAGGCGAUGGAUAACAGGUUGAUAUUCCUGUACCACCUAUAAUCGUUUUAAUCGAUGGGGGGACGCAGUAGGAUAGGCGAAGCGUGCGAUUGGAUUGCACGUCUAAGCAGUAAGGCUGAGUAUUAGGCAAAUCCGGUACUCGUUAAGGCUGAGCUGUGAUGGGGAGAAGACAUUGAGUCUUCGAGUCGUUGAUUUCACACUGCCGAGAAAAGCCUCUAGAUAGAAAAUAGGUGCCCGUACCGCAAACCGACACAGGUAGUCAAGAUGAGAAUUCUAAGGUGAGCGAGCGAACUCUCGUUAAGGAACUCGGCAAAAUGACCCCGUAACUUCGGGAGAAGGGGUGCUCUUUAGGGUUAACGCCCAGAAGAGCCGCAGUGAAUAGGCCCAAGCGACUGUUUAUCAAAAACACAGGUCUCUGCUAAACCGUAAGGUGAUGUAUAGGGGCUGACGCCUGCCCGGUGCUGGAAGGUUAAGAGGAGUGGUUAGCUUCUGCGAAGCUACGAAUCGAAGCCCCAGUAAACGGCGGCCGUAACUAUAACGGUCCUAAGGUAGCGAAAUUCCUUGUCGGGUAAGUUCCGACCCGCACGAAAGGCGUAACGAUUUGGGCACUGUCUCAACGAGAGACUCGGUGAAAUCAUAGUACCUGUGAAGAUGCAGGUUACCCGCGACAGGACGGAAAGACCCCGUGGAGCUUUACUGUAGCCUGAUAUUGAAAUUCGGCACAGCUUGUACAGGAUAGGUAGGAGCCUUUGAAACGUGAGCGCUAGCUUACGUGGAGGCGCUGGUGGGAUACUACCCUAGCUGUGUUGGCUUUCUAACCCGCACCACUUAUCGUGGUGGGAGACAGUGUCAGGCGGGCAGUUUGACUGGGGCGGUCGCCUCCUAAAAGGUAACGGAGGCGCUCAAAGGUUCCCUCAGAAUGGUUGGAAAUCAUUCAUAGAGUGUAAA
rnacentral:rRNA from 1 species